rnacentral:ncRNA from 1 species
UAUAUUUUUAACUUCGGUAUUGAAAACUCCCAUCGUCAUAUGGAUUCUCCCAGUUACCUCAGCUUCACAGUGCUGGGGUUUUU